GUAUAGCUCAGUGGUAGAGUGUAUGCUUAGCAUGCAUGAGGUCCUAGGUCAGUGCCUAGUAC
rnacentral:tRNA from 1 species